AUGAUUGUCGGAGUGAUGAAAAUAUUCCUGGAAGCAACCUUGAAACCUACUUGCUCCUCAGCCUUUCAUAUAGUAAAACUGAAACUCGGAGAGUUAGAUAUGGUCAUAUGCAGCUCGAUCAUUGAAGUGGGAAUAGCGGAUGAUUUGCCAUCAUGUUCAGCAGCAGACCAGCUCUGUCUCAGAGUGAAUCACUGGGAGGCUGAGAAGAGCCCCAGGAGCUCCUGACUCAUGGCCCCGUGUUCCUCACCACACGGUCGUAUCCCAGCUCAGAAAUCUCAUUGAUCAUUGAAAUUACAAAAGCUGUCGUAUGCGAGGAGCACAAAAACACUCACACUUGCAGAUUCUGAAGUUGGAAGUUUGCGUCAUGAGAGCCUUGGUGUUUGCUGUGCGUUGUCCCUCCCUGCUCAGACCUUCAGCACUGUUUUGCCUGGUUAUGUAUACUCAGUGCUUAGCACAGUGGAGCCUGGACUGUGCGUGGCCUUCAGAUAGAGCUGCGACUGAAGUGCUGAACAACCAGUAAUGACCCCAAAGGYAAAUUGCGCAGGCUAAAUUUAAAUGUUGUGUAGAAAUGUGUUAUACAAAGUGGCUGUCAGUGCAUGAACCCAUUUUAUUUGUAGGCUCUGUGUUUGUGUUUGUACUAAGCUUUGGCAGUUGUCUGUUCAUCUUAGUACUGUC
rnacentral:lncRNA from 1 species